rnacentral:rRNA from 1 species
UGCAAAGAUUUCCUUGAGCCUGACAGAGAUUGGCCCUCGAGUGUUAAGGCAAAAGAGAGCUUGAUUGCAACAUCCACCUACUGAGUAGGGACAAACAGUCGACCUUAGG